rnacentral:rRNA from 1 species
ACGUAGGGUGCAAGCGUUGUCCGGAAUUAUUGGGCGUAAAGAGCUCGUAGGCGGUUUGUCGCGUCUGCUGUGAAAUCUGGGGGCUCAACCCCCAGCCUGCAGUGGGUACGGGCAGACUAGAGUGCGGUAGGGGAGAUUGGAAUUCCUGGUGUAGCGGUGGAAUGCGCAGAUAUCAGGAGGAACACCGAUGGCGAAGGCAGAUCUCUGGGCCGUAACUGACGCUGAGGAGCGAAAGCAUGGGGAGCGAACAGGAUUAGAUACCCUGGUAGUCCAUGCCGUAAACGUUGGGAACUAGAUGUGGGGACCAUUCCACGGUCUCCGUGUCGCAGCUAACGCAUUAAGUUCCCCGCCUGGGGAGUACGGCCGCAAGGCUA